rnacentral:rRNA from 1 species
CUAACACCUAGAUUAGUGGCGGACGGGUGAGUAACGCGUGAGCAACCUGCCUUACAGAGGGGGAUAACAUUCGGAAACGGAUGCUAAUACCGCAUAACAUAUAUUUACGGCAUCGUAGGUAUAUCAAAGGAGCAAUCCGCUGUAAGAUGGGCUCGCGUCCGAUUAGAUAGUUGGUGAGGUAACGGCUCACCAAGUCUGCGAUCGGUAGCCGGACUGAGAGGUUGAACGGCCACAUUGGGACUGAGACACGGCCCAGACUCCUACGGGAGGCAGCAGUGGGGGAUAUUGCACAAUGGGCGAAAGCCUGAUGCAGCAACGCCGCGUGAGGGAAGACGGUCUUCGGAUUGUAAACCUUUAACUUUGGAGAAGAAAAAAAUGACGGUAUCCAAAGGAGCAGCCACGGCUAACUUACGUGCCAGCAGCCGCGGUAAUACGUAGGUGGCAAGCGUUGUCCGGAAUUACUGGGUGUAAAGGGAGCGCAGGCGGGGAGACAAGUCCGCUGUGAAAUGCAUAGGCUUAACCUAUGAAUUGCAGUUGAAACUGUUUUUUUUGAGGGGAGUAGAGGUAGACGGAAUUUCCGAGGGUAGCGGGGAAAUGAGUAGAUAUUCGGAGGAACACCAGUGGCGAAGGCGGUCUACUGGGCUCUAACUGACGCUGAGGCUCGAAAGUGUGGGGAGCAAACAGGAUUAGAUACCCUGGUAGUCCACACUGUAAACGAUGAUAACUCGCUGUCGGCGAUACACAGCCGGUGGCCAAGCGAAAGCAUUAAGUUAUCCACCUGGGGAGUACGACCGCAAGGUUGAAACUCAAAGGAAUUGACGGGGGCCCGCACAAGCGGAGGAACAUGUGGUUUAACUCGAUGAUACGCGAGGAACCUUACCCGGGCUCGAACGGUGCAUGAAUAUACGAGAGAUUGUAUAGUCCUUCGGGACAUGUAUCGAGGUGCUGCAUGGUUGUCGUCAGCUCGUGCCGUGAGGUGUCGGCUUAAGUGCCAUAACGAGCGCAACCCUCGUCAUUAGUUGCCAUCAGGUCAAGCUGGGGACUUUAAUGAGACUGCCACCGUAAGGUGUGAGGAAGGGGGGGAGGACGUCAAAUCAGCACGGCCCUUAUGUCCGGGGCGACACACGUGUUACAAUGGGAGGUACAGAGGGCAGCUAUCCGGUGACGGAAUGCUAAUCUCCAAAACCUUUCUCAGUUCGGAUUGGAGUCUGCAACUCGACUCCAUGAAGGUGGAUUCGCUAGUAAUCGCGCAUCAGCCAUGGCGCGGUGAAUAAAUUCCCGGGCCUUGCACUCACCGCCCGUCA